GACGGAGGAUGCAAGUGUUAUCCGGAAUCACUGGGCGUAAAGCGUCUGUAGGUGGUUCGAAAAGUCCACUGUUAAAAAUUGAGGCUUAACUUCAAAGAUGCCGUGGAAACUUUCAAACUAGAGUAUGGUAGGGGUAGAGGGAAUUUCCAGUGGAGCGGUGAAAUGCGUAGAUCUUGGAAAGACCACCAAUGGCGAAGGCACUCUACUGGGCCAUAACUGACACUAAGAGACGAAAGCUAGGGGAGCAAAUGGG
rnacentral:rRNA from 1 species